rnacentral:tRNA from 3 species
GCGCCACUAGCUCAGCUGGUAGAGCAUCCGACUCUUAAUCGGCAGGUCCACGGUUCGAUCCCGUGGUGGCGCACCA